CAUUAUCUGUUUACAUGAAUUAUUCAAUGUUUAUCAAUCAUGUUAAUGGAGAUGAUAAUGUUGAUUGUUUCAAGUUUAAGCCAAUUGGUUUAAAAGGUGAGACUAAAUUAUUAUUAGCAAUCAAAUGUAAUGUUCAAGCUUCAAGUUAUAAGCCUAACGUUCAUUUAUUGUACUACUUGCCGAGACUUAAUUAGGAGACGUUCCCUAAAGAGUGUAUCGUCUGACUUUCAUUUUCAAGAUGUUAAUCUUUUCUUCGUCUUAACCGUUAAUUUCAUUUUUAUUGUUAUUUAUUUCAAUUUAUUUACUAUUUCUUUCGUUAAAUUUUUGAAUCUCGACUGGAAAUGUGCUUCAUUUUAGGAUAAAAUUGGUCAUUAUUGGUGUAAAUUAGUCUGCAGUCAUUUCUUCAUUUCCAUCAUUUUCGCGGUAAAAUUUCCAUAUCGUCUGCUUAAAAGGUUACCGUUACAGUUAGGAUUGGUGGAUUAAUAGCAACGUUAAUUGGAGUGGCUGUAGCUGUACUUCACUACCAUACGAUAUCCAUUGAAAGAACAAGAUGUUUUUUACGAUUCUCUAUCUUAUAAUUGUUUCGCUUUAAUUUUGGAGAUUAUUAUGGAUCUAACUUUAAUCCGAUUAAUUUGUUUUUAAAUCGUUUCAAAGUAACUUGUCUGACUGAAAAUUCAAUGUUUAUCAAAAGACUUAACACUCUGUGCUGUGAUUUUAAGGAUUGGUUCCUCUUAACAUCGACUUGAAGCUUUGAUGUGAAUCCAUCUUAAAAUUUCAAUUUGCUGUUUAAUCCAAUCUUUUUCGAUUCAGCCACUCUUGAUUGCUGAUAGAAAAAAAAUAAUUAAUCGAUGAAAAAAAGCCUUGAAUACUAGUCCAACGUUUGAAAGUGGUAAAAGCUAAUUGAAAUAUGUGUUUUCGUUUAUCCAAUGCCUUGAAAUUCAUGUGUUUUGGCAAUCUUGGAAUUUAAUAUAACACCUUGGUAUUGACUCAUCAUCACUAUUUACUUCAACAGUAAAGAAAUGGCGAAUGAUAAAGCCUUGAGGCGUAACUCACAAUUGAAAACCUGAGAACCAUUUUCAUUGUAUCUUGUUGAUAAAAAUUUAAACAUUCUGAUGUAGUGAAUAUUCAAUAAUCAUGGCAACAACAAAAUAUAUUGAAAGAUUGUAAUAUAAGGAGCAAAGGAAGAGGAAAAUAUACUUUCAGACCUAAUAAUCUGGUUUGCUACAAAAUUGUUUCUUAAGAUUACCAUCACUAUCAUGGAUUCCAGGGAUGGAGCAGACAAAUCUGGUUGAAUAAACUUAUAAAUUUACUGGUGGAAAAUGGAGCGCGCCAAAAAGAAUAAUCAACUCUUCUUAACUCAUGAUUCUAUUGAUAAUAGAAUUUAUUUAAUCCCAUUUUAUCAAUAAUCUGCUUCUGAUGUCACAUUUGGCUUCCAACAAUCUGGAGUUAAGCUGUCCCAUGAAAUCCAAUUUUCUGGCACUCUAGUUAUAUUUGGCUUUUCAAUUCCAAGAUGUGUUCAGAUUUGUUUGACCUGAUGGAAGCCUUCAAUUGACAUUGAUUCGUGUGAAUAAUGAAUUGAUAUGGAAACAAGUGACAGUGUAAAAGAUCAGCUGAACAGCUUACCAUUUCUCAAGGUCAACUUUGAAACAUUGUCUGUUGGCUCAUUGUGAGAUAUUUUAUUCAGUUUCAGUUUCCUUUUCAAUUUUUCAUUGUAUCUCCAAUUGACAGUUUCCUGGUUUUAGGUGUUCCCCAAUCAAUAAUUGUAAAAGUAUUAUCCAGCAAACAGUGACACUUUCGUUAUUCAUUCGUCUCAUCAUGUUUAUAAGUAAACAAGCAGUAAAAAACAACCAGACAACGUGGUAAAGCUUACCAAGUGCGUAAUAAAGUUCGGAUUACAAAUGAGCUUAAAGUUUCCCAUCAAAUGGUGAACUCACUGUGCAUCACAAAACAUGACAAAAAUGGACUAAGUGACACAUUGAUUGAUUGGAUAAAAUGUUACUCAUCCUCCAUCAAUAAGGGAAAAAAAGAGUUAACAAACGCUCCAAGAUCAAAUUUCAAUGUGAAGUCCUAAACUCAACUUUUCAUCAUCAUCAUCAUUAUCAACAUCAUUAACAUAAUUAGCACCAUCGUAUUCCAGUUUGCAAUGAGAGAAGAACAACAAAUUAUAAUUCAAAGAUAAUUUAUUAUCUUUAAUUGAUUAUAAUUUGUAAUUUAAAUUAAGUUACCAACUCUUUCAGUUGCUCGCAUUUCCAAUGUUUACUCUCCACAAUAUUGUUAUUAUUUACUCUAUUGGCAAGAUUGUAUUAUUUUUAGUUAACAUUGAUUGAUGCAGAGUUUUUUCAGUUUGGUUUCAAGUUGAACUCAAUACAAUUCAGUUUAUAAUUAGCAGCUGUGAGUUAAUUUUGAAAUCGUUAAUGUUUACAUUGUUAAACUGGAAAGGUUUAUUUUUAAAAAAAUGAUUCAAAAGUCAAACAUUGUUUGCAAGGUUAACGAUCAACAAUUUUGACAAUGCAAGCAAAUUAGAUUUUCCCUGAAAAAAUUUGCAAAUUCACAAAAUGAACAGUUGAUUCAACAACAUGUUUACAAUUAAAAUUAUUACCGGAAAGAAACAAAGAGCAAAACAGAAGUAAAAGUAAACUCUUUUUUGUCAACUUUUGUUUCAUUGGCAAGAGACUCUACUUUUCCUAGGUUUUGCCUUCAGAUGUUGCUUCUUGUUUUCUUGUUCAAUUGUUGAUCGUAACAAUUAGCAUAAUGAGACCUUUGAGAUUUACUUAAUCAAUUAAAGUUUUCCUAGUUUAGGUAAGAGUCGCAAAAGUAAUUGUAAUUGGUAAACAAUGCAAUUUGAAUCAACUUGUUACUCCAAUAAUGACAAUUGUUUGGGUUUUGAUGAAUAUCAAAAGUCUCCAUUAGAGUCAACCUUAACGAUUUACAAGCAAAUUAGUAAAAGAUUAAACAUUUUACUUUCAUAAUUAUCUCCAUGUUAGACUGUAUUGGUGAAUGAAAAUUUACGUUAAUUUAGUUUAUUUUACAGAUUAAUUAAUGAUUUCUGUUAUGAUAACUUGUUAUUAAUUAGCAAUUUUGUUGAUUCCUUUUUUGCCUAGGUUUUAACCUUUUGUAAAUUAGAUGAAAAGUUGAUUUAUUAAUGUUAACUGUUAAUAGAUUGGAUUUAUUACGGAAUUUAAUUGUUUAUUAUUAUUGUUGGCUUAAUUAAGGAAUCUGACUUUUCUCUGUUUGCUUUUCCAUUUCAAUGAACACUUGAUUUAUAACCAUUUUAUGGGCCGCAAUUUAUGAUAGUAAUUAUUUAACUAUGAUUAAUUGAUAAAUAUUGGUUCUCUGAGUAAACAACAAGUUCUGUUGAUCAAGAAUCAAUGUUGAAACAAAAAUUUAGCCUCAAAAGGUUGGCCGAUCAGUUGAAAUUUAGGGAAUGCAGUUUCACCAAUUAACCCAUUCAAUUGUAAGCAAUUGAUUAAAUGAAGCAAAUUUUGCAAGUUUUUCAGUUCAACAUUGAGAAGAACAAAAAAUGUUAGUUAACUUUCUGAUUAUUUAUCGAUUUUUUUCCAGUCUUUCAUCCAUUAUCGAUCGAUUAUUGACUUUACUUUGUCAUGUUGAGGUAAAGGUUUAAUUGUUUUACCAUUUUUCAUUUGUAAAAACAAAUUGAUGACAAUUAAUAUUUAAACACAACGAUUAUGGCAAUAAACUGAGUAAACCGAGAAAUCAUUUUGUAAUGUGAAACAAAAGCAACACAAUAUUAACUCAACCAAAAAUGAAUCUCAGGCGAGCUUUAACUUAACAACUUGAUGAUGAUGAUGAUUACGAUGGUAAAGAUGAAGGAUGAACAACCUUACAUCUUUCAAUCUGAAUGGUUCAAUGAUUUGACUUACGAUACCCAAAAGACUCAUUCCUGUGACUUAAAUUUUUAAAGGCUCUCAGGAUGCAACUAAAAAUAGCUAAGAUUAUCUUGCUUGUCCUUUUUGACAACUAAACUGUAACUCUUUCCACUCUUUCAUCUUCACUCCCAUCUUCAUUAACAUCAUCUUUUCCUCCUUUUUUAAGCCUUUCGAACCAACAUUCGAAACUCGACCUUUUCCAAGUUUUUCCCAUUCUAAACCUUUUACCUUUACUCAUUGAAACAAUGUUGAUUGAAAAUAAAUGGCUCAACAUGUUCACUUGAUGUUGCCAUCAAUCUGAUCGUCAAAA